GGCUCUGUGAUUAUGAGGCUCUAUUGGGCAAUAUACGUUAUUCUGAUUUAUAGAGAGUAGAAAAUUUAUAUUUUUGAAUACAUUUUACCAUGUCGAAAUCAACAAUGAGAGCU